rnacentral:piRNA from 1 species
UCGCAUUUCAUAUCCCGUUUU